rnacentral:misc_RNA from 1 species
AGUUAAAUAGUACGUGAAAUUGUUGAAAGGGAAACGAUUGAAGUCAGUCAUGCUAGUGAAAAAUCAGUUUGACGGGUUUUGAGUUUGGGAGUAGAGGCAGGGUCAAACCGUUUCUCUUUUGGACUUGGGAUUUGUCGGAUGUACUUUUUCUUUGGCAGGUCAGCGUCGGUUUCGGAGGUUGUAAAAUACUUGGGGGAAAGUAGCUCUGCUUCGGGAGAGUGUUAUAGACCCUGGGGGAUGCAGCCUGCGGGAUCGAGGAUUGCAGCAAAUGCUUUUUGGCUUGUCGCCUGAUCUCUGGAUGUUACCUUGCUUGUGACAACAUUCUUGCCACCGGUGAGUACUAAUGCCCAUUAGGUUAGAACGAUCAAAAAUUUGCUAAGGAUGCUGACGUAAUGGCUUUAAA